GAAUAUACUUCUUUUUGUCGGUUUAAGUUCCAUUUAGGACUUCUGGGCACAAUGGCUACAAUGUCUUGCAACACUGGAUGAACAACUACACAUACAGCAGCAUGAAUACAGAGUAGAUGCAAUUGGUUCAGUUCUUUUUGGGGUGACGAGGAAAACUCGCAACCACUAUCCGAGGGUGUGCACUGAGUAAAUCCUGCCUUGUAACCCUAGCAGACAAAAGACCACAAGGAGGUAAACCAGCCUAAGUUGCCCUUAGCUGACCGACUCAAACUAAGAAGGCUGAGACCUUAUGGUUACAAAGUUUGUAUUGCAUGUACUCAAGGUAUUAUAUUAUAUUAAUGCCUAUGCCAGAGAAUGAUGCUUUUUUCAUGAUCAUGGCCUUUGCUGCUGUAGUCCUUCACAUACUGCCUGACGCAUUCCAGACCUUAAAUUCCUUUAAGGGGAAUACUAUGUGUACUCUUAUUCUCUACUCUUAACUUUUACUCUCACACUCAAAAUCUUGAUGUAAACACUUGUAAUGGGGCUCACAUGAAAAAUAAUAAUUUAUUAGUGCCCACCACAUCAAAGAAUAAAAUUGAGGGAGUAAGAAUUAGGAGUAUAUG